rnacentral:rRNA from 1 species
CCUACGGGUGGCAGCAGUGGGGAAUAUUGCACAAUGGAGGAAACCCUGAUCCAGCGACGCCGCGUGAGUGAAGAAGUAAUUCGUUAUGUAAAGCUCUAUCAGCAGGGAAGAAAAUAACGGUACUUGCGUAAGACCCCCCGGCUAACUACUUCCCAGCAGCCGCGGUAAUACGUAGGGGGCAAGCGUUAUCCGGAGUUACGGGGGGUAAUGGGGGCGUGGACGGCAGUGCAAGUCUGGAGUGAAAGGCGGGGGCUCAACCCCCGGACUGCUCUGGAAACUGUACGGCUGGAGUGCAGGAGAGGUAAGUGGAAUUCCUAGUGUAGCGGUGAAAUGCGUAGAUAUUAGGAGGAACACCAGUGGCGAAGGCGGCUUACUGGACUGUAACUGACGUUGAGGCUCGAAAGCGUGGGGAGCAAACAGGAUUAGAUACCCCAGUAGUC